GGGUUGAUGGUGUAGUGGUUAUCAUUCUCCGUUUGGGUCGGAGAGGCCCCGGGUUCAAAUCCCGGUCGACCCC
rfam:Phycomyces blakesleeanus NRRL 1555(-) unplaced genomic scaffold PHYBLscaffold_12, whole genome shotgun sequence.